rfam:Oryzias latipes DNA, scaffold1997, strain: Hd-rR.
AUCGCUUCUCGGCCUUUUGGCUAAGAUCAAGUGUAGUAUCUGUUCUUAUCAGAGCUGUCCUUGCAUCUUGCCAAACGACAGAGACUGUGAUCACUCCGACGGUUGUUGAUGCUCGUCUGUUGUGACUUGCCAUCGUACAAACUACUGGAGAUAUCGGAGCUGCGCAAUUGAACGUUUACUUUUCCUACUGAAC